AGAUUGAACGCUGGCGGCAUGCCUUACACAUGCAAGUCGAACGGCAGCACGGGAGCAAUCCUGGUGGCGAGUGGCGAACGGGUGAGUAAUACAUCGGAACGUGCCCAAUCGUGGGGGAUAACGCAGCGAAAGCUGUGCUAAUACCGCAUAAGAUCUACGGAUGAAAGCAGGGGAUCGCAAGACCUUGCGCGAAUGGAGCGGCCGAUGGCAGAUUAGGUAGUUGGUGAGGUAAAGGCUCACCAAGCCUUCGAUCUGUAGCUGGUCUGAGAGGACGACCAGCCACACUGGGACUGAGACACGGCCCAGACUCCUACGGGAGGCAGCAGUGGGGAAUUUUGGACAAUGGGCGAAAGCCUGAUCCAGCCAUGCCGCGUGCAGGAUGAAGGCCUUCGGUUGUAACUGCGUUUUGUACGGAACGAAAGUACUCUUUACUAAUAAAGAGGAUCAUGACGUACAGUAAGAAUAAGACACGACUAACUAACG
rnacentral:rRNA from 1 species